rnacentral:misc_RNA from 1 species
CAAAAGGUACCACCCAAACGAGAGGUCCAAACUGAAUUACCUGUCACUUUUUUUAACAAGUACAAAACAACAGUAGCGACUACUAUACCCAUCACUUCACUUCCCAACAACAACACCUCUAGUUUUGUUCUUGAUCCCACCGGAGAAAUCAUGGCCGGAGUUCUCAACAUCCCUCAAUCUUCUUUUUUCUGUUCGAUUCCCAGCAAGCGGAAAAUACCCAGAAGGCCAAUUUCCAUUAUUAGAGCCACCUCAGAGACACCUCUUUCUUCUACUUCAAACACCACCACCACCACCACCAAUGAAGACCAAAAGCUGGAGGCUUCUUUUACUGCCCCUCCCAAUUUCAAGCCACCGGCUCCCAAGCCGUUCACAGUGAAGGAAGGCAAGACUUUGGAUAUUCUUGGUGCUUCUCUUGCCUUGCUUUUCCGGUUGGGCACUGGUGUUUUCGUUUCAGGGUAUUCUGUAUCUUUUGUUUCCAAGAAUGAGAUUCCACCAGACCAAUAUGCUCUAGAAGUAGCUGGUUACAAAGUGAAAGAGACCUCAAAAAUAGGCCCUCGCCCUGAGAAGCCUAUUGAGAUAUACGAGUUCGAAAGCUGUCCAUUUUGUCGUAAGGUUAGAGAAAUUGUUGCAGUUUUGGAUAUUGAUGUUCUGUUCUAUCCUUGCCCAAAAAAUGGUCCCACUUUCCGUCCCAAGGUUGUUCAGAUGGGUGGAAAACAGCAAUUCCCUUACAUGGUGGAUCCAAAUACUGGAACUGCAAUGUAUGAAUCAGAUGAUAUAAUUAAGUAUCUAGUUGGAAAAUAUGGUGUGUUUCUUUACCUUGACUAGCUUUUCCUUGGUUGUUUUCACUAUUUUUUUUUUUUUUUUGGUGCAGAUGUCCUGAACCAGAUGUUCUUGAAAAGAAAAAAGAAAUAGUCAAAAUGUAUAUUUUGAAAUUUUAUAUUCACAAGAGUACCUUCCGAUAUAAUUUUUUUCCCCCUCGUGAUUGUCACUAACAUCUUAGAUCUUACAACAAAUAGAUAUAGUCAAUCUCAUUUAAAAGUUUUGAAAAUUGUGCUUCCAUGUAUUAUACUAGUUAACUACCUUGUUUGGACCUGGUUAUGGAUGUUGGAGACAUAGCCACGCCCUACAUUAGUAUUUUUCAUACUAUUUUCGGAUCAUUCUCAAGGACUAAUCUCCAUUUUAGGUGUUCAUCAUAUAUUUGACACAGGCAUGCUAUGGUAAAAUGAAGUGUCAAAGUAACAAAGCUAACUGAAUUAGUUAUUUUUUAUGCCUUGUCAUGUACUAUCUUAUUUCAUUUUUGUUUUCUCUCAACCUUUAAGAUGAUCUCUAACCUUAAAUGAGAGAUUUAGUAAUUUAUGAUCUUAUGCAUUAUGUAUCUCUGCUGUAAUCCAUAAAAAUCUUUUCAUUUACUGUGUUCGAUUUAUUUCAUUUAGGUGAUGGAAAUGUUCCUUUUAUGUUGUCACUUGGCCUUUUAACGGUUAGUAUUUGAAUUUUCUUUAAAUUUUUUGCAUGUCAAUUUGUAAAAUGUAAGUGUCAAGAUAUAUAGUUUCUUAUUUUAUGACUUCUAUUCUCUGUAGACCUUGACGGCUGGGUUUGCUAUGAUUGGCCGUAUGGGAAAGGGAUCAUCAUAUUCUCCAUCAAAAUUGCCACCUAAACCACCUUAAAUAUGGUCAUAUGAGGGUUCCCCAUUCUGCAAAAUUGUUCGUGAAACACUUGUUGAGUUAGAGUUACCACAUAUUCAGAACAGAUGAAGUCCAUAUCUGGUCUCCUUUUGCUGUGGGCCUUGUUAUUUCUUCAUUUUGUUGUGCUCGUGGCAGUUCAAAACAACGGCUGUUAUAUCAGAAAGCGGGACACUUUCAGGUACCAUAUUUGGAAGAUCCAAAUACUGGGGUCCAGAUGUUUGAAAGUGCUGACAUUGUGGAAUAUCUAAAGGCAACGUAUGCUGCAAGCUUUCAAGGAUACACAAAUAUAUGUAUAUUCCUUUACCCUAUUUCCCCCUUUUUGGACUAUAACAAUUCCACACCCCCUAUUCCAAGUACCGAUCCUUUUAUCUUUAUAAUCAAAAGGAAUGUGUCAUUUUGUUGCUUCCUGGACAAGGUCUGUUAGAUUGCAUGAUGCAAUGAUGUUAUUUAUUUAUAUUUUUCAGUUGUACGUGUGGGAUUUCCAAUUCAUGCUUAGAAAUGAUGUUGCCACUUCUACUGGUUUCUUAUUUAUUAUUAUUAUUAUUGGGGGGUGGGGUGUGCAGCUCUAUUAAUUAUGCAUACUUUGUCAUUAUGAUAUGAAAUCUUAAUCUCGUUUAGGCUAUGUAUUUGAUUCUUGAUCAAUUUGUUAAGACCAAGUUUUUUUGGUUCAUAAUGUUGUUAGUUGUUUUUUCCCCUAUAAACAUAAUAUUGUGACAGUUUUUAAUAAUGUUUUUGUUGUUUGGUAAUAAGACAAUUUCUACUGGUUUUUGGCAUAUUGUUUCUGAAUUUUUCAAUUGUAUUCGUUUUCCCCCUGCUGGACGUUUUCUUUUUCCUUUUUCUCAUUAAAUCCAAUAUUAUUAAUGAGUCAUGAUUCCUAUCAUAUGGUUCAUUCCCAUUGCUUUGGGGUUAUUCAUAAUUAUCUCUGCUUUGUUGCAUGCUUUUCUUUUUCCUCUGUCAGAUAUCUUAAAUCUUAAUAUAAUGGCCUAAUUUGCCAAGUUGUAUACAGUUGUUUUUUAUUCAAGGUCUAUUAUCCUCACAUUUGCUUUUACCUUUCCCACUCUGCAGCAAUCUUGACGAUGAUAAUGCAUUUCAGAUUUUGCUUUUCCCCUAUUUUUAUUUUUCUUUAAAAAAUUGCACUUCAGGUUCAGUGAUUUUAUCAGAACUG